rnacentral:rRNA from 1 species
CUACGGGAUGCAGCAGUGGGGGAUAUUGCACAAUGGGCGAAAGCCUGAUGCAGCAACGCCGCGUGAAGGAAGACGGAUUUCGGUCUGUAAACUUCUAUCAGCUGGGAAGAUAAUGACGGUACCAGACUAAGAAGCCCCGGCUAACUACGUGCCAGCAGCCGCGGUAAUACGUAGGGGGCAAGCGUUAUCCGGAUUUACUGGGUGUAAAGGGUACGUAGGCGGUUUGUUAAGUCAGAUGUGAAAAUCCGGGGCUCAACCUCGGAACUGCAUUUGAAACUGGCAAACUAGAGUGCAGGAGAGGAAAGCGGAAUUCCUAGUGUAGCGGUGAAAUGCGUAGAUAUUAGGAAGAACACCAGUGGCGAAGGCGGCUUUCUGGACUGUAACUGACGCUGAGGUACGAAAGCGUGGGGAGCGAACAGGAUUAGAUACCCCUGUAGUC